AAAUUUUGAUCCAUUUUCUUUUGUUAUUGUAAUUGUGUAUUUUAUUAAAAAAACAGUCACAAGUUUUUAAAUUCUUUUAAAUGACUAAAAGAGAUAAAAGUAAAUAUAAGAAUUUGAUGUAGGCAACAGUUUUUUUUAGAAAAUUAAUUUAAAUAAUUAAUAUAAUUUACUGUAGUUUACUAUCAUGAAGAGUUAUCAGGAAACUACUAUCAACGUAGAUACAAUUACGACAACAAUGAUCACAUUUUUACCUGAUCACACAACAAAUACAAUGCAUAGUAAAAAAAAAUCAUAUUUGUACAAGAUCACAUAACAAAUACAACGCAUAAUAACAUUAAUCUCAUAUAUAUUAGAACACACAACAGGUACAAUUCACAAUAAUAGCAUCACAUUUGUAUAAAAUCACACAGCAGAUACAAUUCACAUUAACAUCAUCACAUUUGUAUAAGAUCACAUAGCAGCUACAAUGCACAAUAACAUUAUUCUCAUAUGUAAUGAUCAUACAAGAGGAAAAGUGUAAAAAAAUCUUAUAGUCCAUAUAGUAGGGUUCACUAUCAUUUAGGUAGAUGAGAUUUUGAUCAUAUACACACCCUCACACACUUGAUAUUUGACUAAAUAGUUAGAUGUAUCACACAAUUUCGUACUAUUUAAAAUUUUCCUUAUAUUGACCCAAAUUUUUACUCAAUAGUCUUUAUUAAAUUUCUCUGAAGUUUACUACUAUGAUUUGACUUUGUGAAUGUACCUUCUUACUCUUAUUUUAUUUGAAUUUUAGUGAUUUUUUCUCUAAACUUUUGACCUUACGAAGAGUUUUAAUAUCUGUAUUCUCAAUUAAGUUUUUUCCAUGUACUCUCCUUAACUAUUGUAAAUUUCUUUUACUUUGUCUAAUAGUUAUUUGCGUAUUUUCUUUGAAUUUUUUACUAUGUAAUCCAAUUUAAAUUUAUAAAAUUACUCUAACUAAUUUUUUAUCAGGCAUAUAGGGUCUGCCUUUUUAUUUAAUUAUAAGUAUUUAUAACACUUUUCUCCCUUUUUUUCCUCGAUGUAUUACUACCCUUAUAAAGCUCUUUAUAGAUUUUUAUAUUAAGUCCAUUACCAAACUUCAUAAUUAAAUGUAGUGUUCCUCUGUGCCACUAGCCCAAACCCACUAGUGCUCUUUUAUUUGACCCAUUUCAAGUUCCUAACCACCCAGCUCAUCCUUUAACUAGGCCGAUAGCUCAAACUCCCUGUCAAACUACCAUUUUCUUUAUUAUUAUUAUUAUGUACAUUUUUUUCUUUUAUUUUAUUUCAUAAGUUACAUAAACUAGUUUCUGCCCACUAGUAAUUUUGGAGUAUUUUUUUUUAGUAUAACCCAUUUUCUAUAUUGGGUUUUAGUCUAUUUACAUACACAGGUAUUUAUUGGCAUACAUAAUAUUUUCAUCCAUAUAGUCAUGCACACACACUUAUAUAGCUAUAUAUAUGUAUGUAUCGAUUAUAUGUAUAUUUAUGAACCAACACACUUUCAGUAUAUAUAUAAAUAUAUACAGAAAAUACACACGUAGAGAAUGUAUACAUAUACUCAUACAUGCAUAUAUGUAUAUAUAUAUAUACUUAUUAUGUGUAUAUAUAUAUACAUAAAGCACACGCGCACACAUACAGUAUAUAUGUACUGACAUGCAGAGAUAGAUAUUUAUUCUUAUGCAUGUGUGUUAAUUUUAACUAUUAUGUCCGUAUGAAUAUAAUGGUGUAAAUCUCACUUAUUCUCUUCUUGUAUCCCUUAUGUAUUGGAUUCCGCUGGGGUGAAUCCUAUCUUAAUUUCUGCUUCCCUACAUCUGUAAAUAAACAUGAAUGAGCCUACACAUGCCCAUGAAGUCAAAUUUAAAUUUAAACAAUGUAUUGAAAUCAAUAAAAUUCCUAAAUCAGAGUUGCCCUCAACUCUCUCUCUCACUCUAGACAGUCCAUUUUUUCCCUCUAAAGGAAAAUUCUAGAUAUCUUAGACUCUCCCCAAAGCUCACAGGUACAAAUAGCCAUUAUCCAUUUCCCUGACUUGUCUCCAAUAGUCUUCUACUCUUUGUCAUCACUCUCCCACUCAAAUAGCCCAUUUACGCAACAUAUUUAAUAACCUACACCAGGUUAAUGUAUUCUAUAGUAAAGAAAAUCAAUAGAUAAUUUGACAAGGAAAUGAUGUAAAAUCCAACCCAUAUUUGGCCAUUCAUACUCGUACAACUAUUAACAGAACAUACAGCUUACAAAUGCAAUACACAAUUAUUAAUAAUACACCAGCUAACCACACACCCCCACAAAGUUGAUUCACACACCAGAAAUAACGACCCAUGUUUCCUUGGGAAGGUUUUCGGUUUAACACCAUAGUCCCCUAGAAGGCUGCCUAAUUCCUCUCCCUUUAUCGACCUUGUAACCAUUUCUAUUUAUUCCCAUAUCUCUCCAUCCAUUCUCUCCCUCAAACCCCUAUCAUUUAUUCACGAUUUCGUUUCUAAAUCAUUGCAAACAAAACCUACAUUCUGUUAUUUCCUCCCCUUAGCUCUCGCUCAAAAUAGGCCCUGAUUUUCCAUCUAUUUUAUUUCUCUAGUGUUCAUUCAUACUUUUUUCAUUUUUUUAUUCUUAAAUUAAUUUACAUUCUGCUGUCCCUCUCUCUUUAGCAGAUCUGAUUUACUUUUAGCCAUUCAUCUUUUUUUUUUAUUUUUAAGACCCUAACUGAUUUUCUCACAAAUUUUAGCCUUCUAUCAUGAAAACCCUUUCACACUCGAUUCUCUUACCUUGUUGCUGCAUCAUCACAUAUCUAUAUACAAUUUCAAGUUUAGCCUUUUAUGAUGCAUGAUCUAACAUUCUACUAAAAGUUCAAAUAUCUUCCCUUUUUUUUUCAACCCCAAUCAUUAAUACAUCCUCUGAAAGAAGGAAUUUAAAAAUAUACUUCUGAAACCCAAAUUUGUCUUACCUCCUGUCACUGCGUGGACGUUUACUUGCAAUGUUGGUUCUCCGUCAAGUCCUCCUUGGCGACACCGUAACGCAAUGCCAUCGGUACCUCUUUAGAUCUUCGUACUCCUUUCACCCAUCGUUCUCUCGAUGAGACUAGCUAUUUUAAGAUCCUACUUCUCUAAAAUCUCGUACUCAUUCAGCUUGCUCUCCUCUGAGUCAGUUUUACUAUCUCUCUCUCGCAAUCAACCCUCCAUUUUCUGUUAGGGUCCGCCCCCUCCCUAAAUGGUUGAGAAGAAGAAGUUUUUAUAAGGGUUGUGAGGACAUUUCGAUGUCAAGGGUAGAUCUGCAUCGUUGGUUUCAUUUCUUUUUUUUCAGUUCUCAAAUU
rnacentral:lncRNA from 1 species